UAGUCCACGCCGUAAACGAUGAUUACUCGCUGUAGGCGAUACACAGUCUGUGGCUAAGCGAAAGUUUUAAGUAAUCCACCUGGGGAGUACGAUCGCAAGAUUGAAACUCAAAGGAAUUGACGGGGGCCCGCACAAGCGGAGGAACAUGUGGUUUAAUUCGAUGAUACGCGAGGAACCUUACCUGGACUUAAAUGUACGUUGCAUAGAUUGGAGACAGUCUUUUCUUCGGACUACGUACAAGGUGCUGCAUGGUUGUCGUCAGCUCGUGCCGUGAGGUGUCCGGUUAAGUCCCAUAACGAGCGCAACCCCUAUCCUUAGUUGCCAUCAGGUUAUGCUGGGGACUCUAGCGAAACUGCCCGUGCAAACGGAGAGGAAGGUGGGGAUGACGUCAAAUCAGCACGGCCCUUACGUCCAGGGCUACACACGUGUUACAAUGGCAUAGACAGGGGGCAGCUACACAGCGAUGUGAUGCGAAUCUCGAAACUAUGUCUCAGUUCGG
rnacentral:rRNA from 1 species